UAAUAAGUGUUUUAUGGCACUUUUUAAAUCCAUAUCCACCUUGUGUGCAAUGUCGGUCGAUCUUCUUUUUUUGAGGAUUGACCAAACAUCAACCUUUAUUUUUUAACUCUUUGUCUGAAAAAUAUUAUGAAUAAACAAUUCAAAAUA
rnacentral:misc_RNA from 1 species